rnacentral:rRNA from 1 species
UAGGGAAUCUUCCGCAAUGGACGCAAGUCUGACGGAGCAACGCCGCGUGAGUGAAGAAGGAUUUCGGUUCGUAAAACUCUGUUGUUAGAGAAGAACAGCGCAUAGAGUAACUGUUAUGCGUGUGACGGUAUCUAACCAGAAAGCCACGGCUAACUACGUGCCAGCAGCCGCGGUAAUACGUAGGUGGCAAGCGUUGUCCGGAUUUAUUGGGCGUAAAGCGAGCGCAGGCGGUCAAUUAAGUCUGAUGUGAAAGCCCCCGGCUCAACCGGGGAGGGUCAUUGGAAACUGGUUGACUUGAGUGCAGAAGAGGAGGGUGGAAUUCCAUGUGUAGCGGUGAAAUGCGUAGAUAUAUGGAGGAACACCAGUGGCGAAGGCGACUCUCUGGUCUGUAACUGACGCUGAGGCUCGAAAGCGUGGGGAGCGAACAGG